CCUACGGGAGGCUGCAGUGGGGAAUAUUGCACAAUGGGCGCAAGCCUGAUGCAGCCAUGCCGCGUGUGUGAAGAAGGCCUUCGGGUUGUAAAGCACUUUCAGCGGGGAGGAAGGCGUUAAGGUUAAUAACCUUGUCGAUUGACGUUACCCGCAGAAGAAGCACCGGCUAACUCCGUGCCAGCAGCCGCGGUAAUACGGAGGGUGCAAGCGUUAAUCGGAAUUACUGGGCGUAAAGCGCACGCAGGCGGUCUGUCAAGUCGGAUGUGAAAUCCCCGGGCUCAACCUGGGAACUGCACUCGAAGCUGGCAGGCUAGAGUCUUGUAGAGGGGGGUAGAAUUCCAGGUGUAGCGGUGAAAUGCGUAGAGAUCUGGAGGAAUACCGGUGGCGAAGGCGGCCCCCUGGACAAAGACUGACGCUCAGGUGCGAAAGCGUGGGGAGCAAACAGGAUUAGAUACCCCGGUAGUC
rnacentral:rRNA from 1 species